UACGAAGGGGGCGAGCGUUGUUCGGAUUUACUGGGCGUAAAGGGCGCGCAGGCGGCGCAUUUUGUCAGGCGUGAAAGCCCCGGGCUUAACCUGGGAACUGCGUUUGAUACGGAUGGGCUAGAGUUCGGGAGAGGAGAGUGGAAUUCCCAGUGUAGAGGUGAAAUUCGUAGAUAUUGGGAAGAACACCGGUGGCGAAGGCGGCUCUCUGGGCCUUACCUGACGCUGAGGAGCGAAAGCACGGGGAGCGAACAGG
rnacentral:rRNA from 1 species